UCCUGGCUCAGGAUGAACGCUGGCGGCGUGCCUAACACAUGCAAGUCGAACGGAACUUUUACGAGCAAGGCUUCGGCCAAGCAAGUUUAAGUUAGUGGCGGACGGGUGAGUAACGCGUGAGCAACCUGCCUUUCAGAGGGGGAUAACGUUUGGAAACGAACGCUAAUACCGCAUAACGUAUGGAUAUCGCAUGGUAAUCAUACCAAAGAUUUUAUCGCUGAGAGAUGGGCUCGCGUCCGAUUAGGUAGUUGGUGGGUAACGGCUCACCAAGCCGACGAUCGGUAGCCGGACUGAGAGGUUGAACGGCCACAUUGGGACUGAGACACGGCCCAGACUCCUACGGGAGGCAGCAGUGGGGAGUAUUGCACAAUGGGCGCAAGCCUGAUUGCAGCAACGCCGCGUGAGGGAAGACGGUUUUCGGAUUGUAAACCUCUGUCUUUGGUGACGAAGAAGUGACGGUAGCCAAGGAGGAAGCCACGGCUAACUACGUGCCAGCCGCAGC
rnacentral:rRNA from 1 species